CCUACAUUAAAAGCCAUAUCCUUUAAUACGUGCCUUUCUUCCUUUAUCUUCCUUUCAGAAAUUCCUUAUAGAGUCUCCCAAAAUUCACAUCCAAUAAACAGCCUGCAGCCCCGAGUGACAUAUGUCCUGUGGAUGACAGCUCUGACAGCUGCUGGCGAAAGUUCCCACGGAAAUGAGAGGGAAUUUUGUCUGCAAGGUAAAGCCAAUUGGAUGGCGUUUGUGGCACCAAGCAUUUGCAUUGCUAUCAUCAUGGUGGGCAUUUUCUCAACGCAUUACUUCCAGCAAAAGGUGUUUGUUCUCCUAGCAGCCCUCAGACCUCAGUGGUGUAGCAGAGAAAUUCCAGAUCCAGCAAAUAGCACUUGCGCUAAGAAAUAUCCCAUUGCAGAGGAGAAGACACAGCUGCCCUUGGACAGGCUCCUGAUAGACUGGCCCACGCCUGAAGAUCCUGAACCGCUGGUCAUCAGUGAAGUCCUUCAUCAAGUGACCCCAGUUUUCAGACGUCCCCACUGCUCCAACUGGCCACAAAGGGAAAAAGGAAUCCAAGGUCAUCAGGCCUCUGAGAAAGACAUGAUGCACAGUGCCUCAAGCCCACCACCUCCAAGAG
rnacentral:sRNA from 1 species